rnacentral:rRNA from 1 species
CCUACGAGAGGCAGCAGUAGGGAAUAUUGCUCAAUGGGGGAAACCCUGAAGCAGCAACGCCGCGUGGAGGAUGAAGGUUUUAGGAUUGUAAACUCCUUUUGUGAGAGAAGAUAAUUACGGUAUCUCACGAAUAAGCACCGACUAACUCCGUGCCAGCAGCCGCGGUAAGACGGAGGGUGCCAGUGUUACUCGGAAUCACUGGGCGUACAGAGUGCGCAGGCGGGAUUGUAAGUCAGAUGUGAAAUCCUGUAGCUUAACUACAGAACUGCAUUUGAAACUAUGAGUCUAGAGUGUGGGAGAGGUAGGUGGAAUGCUUGGUGUAGGGGUAAAAGCCGUAGAUAGCAAGAGGAAUACUCAUUGCGAAGGCGACCUACUGGAACAUUACUGACGCUCAUGCACGAAAGCGUGGGGAGCAAACAGGAUUAGAUACCCCAGUAGUC